rnacentral:rRNA from 1 species
GGGUUGUGAGGUUAAGCGACUAAGCGUACACGGUGGAUGCCCUGGCAGUCAGAGGCGAUGAAGGACGUGCUAAUCUGCGAUAAGCGUCGGUAAGGUGAUAUGAACCGUUAUAACCGGCGAUUUCCGAAUGGGGAAACCCAGUGUGAUUCGUCACACUAUCAUUAACUGAAUCCAUAGGUUAAUGAGGCGAACCGGGGGAACUGAAACAUCUAAGUACCCCGAGGAAAAGAAAUCAACCGAGAUUCCCCCAGUAGCGGCGAGCGAACGGGGAGCAGCCCAGAGCCUGAAUCAGUGUGUGUGUUAGUGGAAGCGUCUGGAAAGGCGUGCGAUACAGGGUGACAGCCCCGUACACAAAAAUGCACAUACUGUGAGCUCGAUGAGUAGGGCGGGACACGUGGUAUCCUGUCUGAAUAUGGGGGGACCAUCCUCCAAGGCUAAAUACUCCUGACUGACCGAUAGUGAACCAGUACCGUGAGGGAAAGGCGAAAAGAACCCCGGCGAGGGGAGUGAAAAAGAACCUGAAACCGUGUACGUACAAGCAGUGGGAGCACGCUUAGGCGUGUGACUGCGUACCUUUUGUAUAAUGGGUCAGCGACUUAUAUUCUGUAGCAAGGUUAACCGAAUAGGGGAGCCGAAGGGAAACCGAGUCUUAACUGGGCGUUAAGUUGCAGGGUAUAGACCCGAAACCCGGUGAUCUAGCCAUGGGCAGGUUGAAGGUUGGGUAACACUAACUGGAGGACCGAACCGACUAAUGUUGAAAAAUUAGCGGAUGACUUGUGGCUGGGGGUGAAAGGCCAAUCAAACCGGGAGAUAGCUGGUUCUCCCCGAAAGCUAUUUAGGUAGCGCCUCGUGAAUUCAUCUCCGGGGGUAGAGCACUGUUUCGGCAAGGGGGUCAUCCCGACUUACCAACCCGAUGCAAACUGCGAAUACCGGAGAAUGUUAUCACGGGAGACACACGGCGGGUGCUAACGUCCGUCGUGAAGAGGGAAACAACCCAGACCGCCAGCUAAGGUCCCAAAGUCAUGGUUAAGUGGGAAACGAUGUGGGAAGGCCCAGACAGCCAGGAUGUUGGCUUAGAAGCAGCCAUCAUUUAAAGAAAGCGUAAUAGCUCACUGGUCGAGUCGGCCUGCGCGGAAGAUGUAACGGGGCUAAACCAUGCACCGAAGCUGCGGCAGCGACGCUUAUGCGUUGUUGGGUAGGGGAGCGUUCUGUAAGCCUGUGAAGGUGUACUGUGAGGUAUGCUGGAGGUAUCAGAAGUGCGAAUGCUGACAUAAGUAACGAUAAAGCGGGUGAAAAGCCCGCUCGCCGGAAGACCAAGGGUUCCUGUCCAACGUUAAUCGGGGCAGGGUGAGUCGACCCCUAAGGCGAGGCCGAAAGGCGUAGUCGAUGGGAAACAGGUUAAUAUUCCUGUACUUGGUGUUACUGCGAAGGGGGGACGGAGAAGGCUAUGUUGGCCGGGCGACGGUUGUCCCGGUUUAAGCGUGUAGGCUGGUUUUCCAGGCAAAUCCGGAAAAUCAAGGCCGAGGCGUGAUGACGAGGCACUACGGUGCUGAAGCAACAAAUGCCCUGCUUCCAGGAAAAGCCUCUAAGCAUCAGGUAACAUCAAAUCGUACCCCAAACCGACACAGGUGGUCAGGUAGAGAAUACCAAGGCGCUUGAGAGAACUCGGGUGAAGGAACUAGGCAAAAUGGUGCCGUAACUUCGGGAGAAGGCACGCUGAUACGUAGGUGAAGCGACUUGCUCGUGGAGCUGAAAUCAGUCGAAGAUACCAGCUGGCUGCAACUGUUUAUUAAAAACACAGCACUGUGCAAACACGAAAGUGGACGUAUACGGUGUGACGCCUGCCCGGUGCCGGAAGGUUAAUUGAUGGGGUUAGCGCAAGCGAAGCUCUUGAUCGAAGCCCCGGUAAACGGCGGCCGUAACUAUAACGGUCCUAAGGUAGCGAAAUUCCUUGUCGGGUAAGUUCCGACCUGCACGAAUGGCGUAAUGAUGGCCAGGCUGUCUCCACCCGAGACUCAGUGAAAUUGAACUCGCUGUGAAGAUGCAGUGUACCCGCGGCAAGACGGAAAGACCCCGUGAACCUUUACUAUAGCUUGACACUGAACAUUGAGCCUUGAUGUGUAGGAUAGGUGGGAGGCUUUGAAGUGUGGACGCCAGUCUGCAUGGAGCCGACCUUGAAAUACCACCCUUUAAUGUUUGAUGUUCUAACGUGGACCCGUAAUCCGGGUUGCGGACAGUGUCUGGUGGGUAGUUUGACUGGGGCGGUCUCCUCCUAAAGAGUAACGGAGGAGCACGAAGGUUGGCUAAUCCUGGUCGGACAUCAGGAGGUUAGUGCAAUGGCAUAAGCCAGCUUGACUGCGAGCGUGACGGCGCGAGCAGGUGCGAAAGCAGGUCAUAGUGAUCCGGUGGUUCUGAAUGGAAGGGCCAUCGCUCAACGGAUAAAAGGUACUCCGGGGAUAACAGGCUGAUACCGCCCAAGAGUUCAUAUCGACGGCGGUGUUUGGCACCUCGAUGUCGGCUCAUCACAUCCUGGGGCUGAAGUAGGUCCCAAGGGUAUGGCUGUUCGCCAUUUAAAGUGGUACGCGAGCUGGGUUUAGAACGUCGUGAGACAGUUCGGUCCCUAUCUGCCGUGGGCGCUGGAGAACUGAGGGGGGCUGCUCCUAGUACGAGAGGACCGGAGUGGACGCAUCACUGGUGUUCGGGUUGUCAUGCCAAUGGCACUGCCCGGUAGCUAAAUGCGGAAGAGAUAAGUGCUGAAAGCAUCUAAGCACGAAACUUGCCCCGAGAUGAGUUCUCCCUGACCCUUUAAGGGUCCUGAAGGAACGUUGAAGACGACGA